UACGGAGGGUGCGAGCGUUAAUCGGAAUUACUGGGCGUAAAGGGCUCGUAGGUGGCCAACUAAGUCAGACGUGAAAUCCCCAGGCUCAACCUGGGAACUGCGUCUGAUACUGGAUGGCUUGAAUUCGGGAGAGGGAUGCAGAAUUCCAGGUGUAGCGGUGAAAUGCGUAGAUAUCUGGAGGAACACCGGUGGCGGAGGCGGCGUCCUGGACCGGCAUUGACGCUGAGGCGCGAAAGCCAGGGGAGCAAACGGG
rnacentral:rRNA from 1 species